rnacentral:rRNA from 1 species
AUGGAGUACCGCCAUGCUGAUGUGGGGAGAACAAUCUCAUACUUCCAAGAUAUGAAGGUACAAGAUCCAGAUUUCUAUUGGAGAAUAAAGCUUGAUGAUGAGGACAGAGUGGAAAAUUUGUUCUGGAUAGAUGGUGCGUCGCACAGGGCAUAUGCUAGAUACAAUGAUGUCAUCUCAUUCGACACAACAUACAUGACAAACAUGUACAAGAUUCCCUGUGCGUCCUUCAUUGGCAUUAAUAACCAUGGGCAGUUAAUCCAGUUUGGUUGUGGAUUUGUUCGAAACAAACUAUUUGGUAACUUUGUGUGGCCGUUUAAUGCAUUCUUGCAUGCAAUGGGUGGAAUUGCGCCAAAGAACAUAAUAACAUAUCAAGAUUUUGCAAUGAGGAGUGCUAUUGAUGAGGUGUUCUGUUGGGGAACGUAG